AACGCACGAGACCUGCGGACCUGCGGAGGGAUCAUUACCGAGUUAUCCAACCCCCAACCCCUGUGAAUUAUACCUUUAAUUGUUGCUUCGGCGGGACUUCGCGCCCGCCGGGGACCCAAACCUUCUGAAUUUUUUAAUAAGUAUCUUCUGAGUGGUUAAAAAAAUGAAUCAAAACUUUCAACAACGGAUCUCU
rnacentral:misc_RNA from 1 species